rnacentral:rRNA from 1 species
UACGUAGGGUGCAAGCGUUAAUCGGAAUUACUGGGCGUAAAGCGUGCGCAGGCGGUUGUGCAAGACCGAUGGUGAAAUCCCCGGGCUUAACCUGGGAAUGGCAUUGGUGACUGCACGGCUAGAGUGUGUCAGAGGGGGGUAGAAUUCCGCGUGUAGCAGUGAAAUGCGUAGAGAUGUGGAGGAAUACCGAUGGCGAAGGCAGCCCCCUGGGAUAACACUGACGCUCAUGCACGAAAGCGUGGGGAG